GACGAACGCUGGCGGCGUGCCUAAUACAUGCAAGUAGAACGCACAGUUUAUACCGUAGCUUGCUACACCAUAGACUGUGAGUUGCGAACGGGUGAGUAACGCGUAGGUAACCUGCCUGGUAGCGGGGGAUAACUAUUGGAAACGAUAGCUAAUACCGCAUAAUAUUGAUUAUUGCAUGAUAAUUGAUUGAAAGAUGCUAUUGCAUCACUACCAGAUGGACCUGCGUUGUAUUAGCUAGUAGGUGAGGUAACGGCUCACCUAGGCGACGAUACAUAGCCGACCUGAGAGGGUGAUCGGCCACACUGGGACUGAGACACGGCCCAGACUCCUACGGGAGGCAGCAGAAGGGAAUCUUCGGCAAUGGACGAAAGUCUGAGCGAGCAACGCCGCGUGAGUGAAGAAGGAUGUCGGAUCGGAAAGCUCUGUUGUAAGAGAAGAACGGGUGUGAGAGUGGAAAGUUCACACUGUGACGGUAUCUUACCAGAAAGGGACGGCUAACUACGUG
rnacentral:rRNA from 1 species